rnacentral:rRNA from 1 species
UACAGAGGUCUCAAGCGUUGUUCGGAUUCAUUGGGCGUAAAGGGUGUGUAGGUGGCGCGCUAAGUCGGGUGUGAAAUUUCGGAGCUUAACUCCGAAACUGCAUUCGAUACUGGCGUGCUUGAGGACUGGAGAGGAGACUGGAAUUCGAUGGUGUAGCAGUGAAAUGCGUAGAGAUCAUGAGGAAGACCAGUGGCGAAGGCGGGUCUCUGGACAGUUCCUGACGCUGAGGCACGAAGGUCAGGGGAGCAAACGGG